GCUCAGGACGAACGCUGGCGGCAUGCUUCAUACAUGCAAGUCGAACGAUAAGGUCUCUUCGGAGAUACAUAAGUGGCGGACGGGUGAGUAAUAUGUAGGAAAUCUGCCCUAGAGAGGGGGACAACAGAAGGAAACUUCUGCUAAUACCCCAUAUGAGCGUACCUGAAAUGGUAUUCUUGAAAACUCCGGUGCUCUAGGAUGAGCCUGCAUCUGAUUAGCUAGUUGGUGGUGUAAUGGACUACCAAGGCGACGAUCAGUAGCUGGUUUGAGAGGAUGAUCAGCCACAAUGGGACUGAGACACGGCCCAUACUCCUACGGGAGGCAGCAGUAGGGAAUUUUGCGCAAUGGGCGAAAGCCUGACGCAGCAAUGCCGCGUGAAUGUUAAACCCUUCGGGGUGUAAAGUUCUGUCAGUGGGGACGAACAAAUGACGGUACCCACAGAGGAAGCACCGGCUAACUCCGUGCCAGCAGCCGCGGUAAUACGGAGGGUGCAAGCGUUGUCCGGAAUCAUUGGGCGUAAAGAGUUCGUAGGCGGUUUGUUAAGUUAGGUGUUAAAUACUGAGGCUCAACCUCAGCACGGCAUUUGAUACUGGCAGACUUGAAUGCGGUAGAGGUAAAGGGAAUUCCUGGUGUAGCGGUGAAAUGCGUAGAUAUCAGGAGGAACAUCGGUGGCGUAAGCGCUUUACUGGGCCGUAAUUGACGCUGAGGAACGAAAGCCAGGGUAGCGAAUGGGAUUAGAUACCCCAGUAGUCCUGGCCGUAAACGAUGGAUACUAGGUGUUGCGGGUAUCGACCCCUGCAGUGCCGUAGCUAACGCGAUAAGUAUCCCGCCUGGGGAGUACGCACGCAAGUGUGCAACUCAAAG
rnacentral:rRNA from 1 species